rnacentral:rRNA from 1 species
UACGGAGGGUGCAAGCGUUAUCCGGAUUUACUGGGUUUAAAGGGUGCGUAGGUGGGUUGGUAAGUCAGUGGUGAAAUACUUUCGCUUAACGAAGGAACUGCCAUUGAUACUACCAGUCUUGAAUACAGUGGAGGUAGGCGGAAUGCGUCAUGUAGCAGUGAAAUGCGUAGAUAUCUGGAGGAACACCGAUGGCGAAGGCAGCCCCCUGGGCUAACACUGACGCUCAUGCACGAAAGCGUGGGGAGCAAACAGG